rnacentral:rRNA from 1 species
CUACGGGACGCAGCAGUGAGGAAUUUUGCGCAAUGGGGGCAACCCUGACGCAGCAACGCCGCGUGAGUGAAGAAGGCCCUUGGGUCGUAAAGCUCUGUCAAUGGGGAAGAAGUUACUUGGUAUUAAUAGUGCCUUGUAUUGACGGUACCCAUGAAGGAAGCACCGGCUAACUCCGUGCCAGCAGCCGCGGUAAUACGGGGGGUGCAAGCGUUAUUCGGAAUUAUUGGGCGUAAAGGGCACGCAGGCGGUCCUGUCAGUCAGAUGUGAAAGCCCAGGGCUCAACCCUGGACGUGCAUUUGAAACAGCAGGACUUGAGUACGGGAGAGGAAAGGGGAAUUCCUGGUGUAGAGGUGAAAUUCGUAGAUAUCAGGAGGAACACCGGUGGCGAAGGCGCCUUUCUGGACCGAUACUGACGCUGAGGUGCGAAGGCGUGGGUAGCGAACGGGAUUAGAUACCCUAGUAGUC